rnacentral:rRNA from 1 species
GAGUGCUUGCACUCAAUUGGAAAGAGGAGUGGCGGACGGGUGAGUAACACGUGGGUAACCUACCCAUCAGAGGGGGAUAACACUUGGAAACAGGUGCUAAUACCGCAUAACAGUUUAUGCCGCAUGGCAUAAGAGUGAAAGGCGCUUUCGGGUGUCGCUGAUGGAUGGACCCGCGGUGCAUUAGCUAGUUGGUGAGGUAACGGCUCACCAAGGCCACGAUGCAUAGCCGACCUGAGAGGGUGAUCGGCCACACUGGGACUGAGACACGGCCCAGACUCCUACGGGAGGCAGCAGUAGGGAAUCUUCGGCAAUGGACGAAAGUCUGACCGAGCAACGCCGCGUGAGUGAAGAAGGUUUUCGGAUCGUAAAACUCUGUUGUUAGAGAAGAACAAGGACGUUAGUAACUGAACGUCCCCUGACGGUAUCUAACCAGAAAGCCACGGCUAACUACGUGCCAGCAGCCGCGGUAAUACGUAGGUGGCAAGCGUUGUCCGGAUUUAUUGGGCGUAAAGCGAGCGCAGGCGGUUUCUUAAGUCUGAUGUGAAAGCCCCCGGCUCAACCGGGGAGGGUCAUUGGAAACUGGGAGACUUGAGUGCAGAAGAGGAGAGUGGAAUUCCAUGUGUAGCGGUGAAAUGCGUAGAUAUAUGGAGGAACACCAGUGGCGAAGGCGGCUCUCUG